rnacentral:hammerhead_ribozyme from 1 species
AUCAAGAUGACGAGUCCCAAACAGGACGAAACGCGCGUCCUGGAU